AGAGUUUGAUCCUGGCUCAGAAUCAACGCUGGCGGCGUGCCUAACACAUGCAAGUCGCACGAGAAAGGGACUUCGGUCCUGAGUACAGUGGCGCACGGGUGAGUAACACGUGAAUCAUCUACCUCCGAGUGGGGAAUAACUGAGAGAAAUCUUAGCUAAUACCGCAUAACACUUACGAGUCAAAGCAGCAAUGCGCUUGGAGAGGAGUUCGCGGCAGAUUAGUUAGUUGGCGGGGUAAUGGCCCACCAAGACGAUGAUCUGUAUCCGGCCUGAGAGGGCGCACGGACACACUGGAACUGAAACACGGUCCAGACUCCUACGGGAGGCAGCAGUGGGGAAUUUUGCGCAAUGGGGGAAACCCUGACGCAGCAACGCCGCGUGGAGGAUGAAAUCCCUUGGGAUGUAAACUCCUUUCGAUAGGGAAGAUAAUGACGGUACCUAUAGAAGAAGCCCCGGCUAACUUCGUGCCAGCAGCCGCGGUAAUACGAGGGGGGCAAGCGUUGUUCGGAAUUAUUGGGCGUAAAGGGUGCGUAGGCGGUUUGACAAGUCUCAUGUGAAAUCUUCGGGCUCAACCCGAAGUCUGCAUGGGAAACUGUCGGGCUUGAGUAUGGGAGAGGUGAGUGGAAUUUCCGGUGUAGCGGUGAAAUGCGUAGAUAUCGGAAGGAACACCUGUGGCGAAAGCGGCUCACUGGACCAUAACUGACGCUGAUGCACGAAAGCUAGGGGAGCAAACAGGAUUAGAUACCCUGGUAGUCCUAGCCCUAAACGAUGAUUGUUUGAUGUGGGGGGUACCCAAUCCUCCCGUGUCGAAGCUAACGCGAUAAACAAUCCGCCUGGGGAGUACGGUCGCAAGGCUGAAACUUAAAGGAAUUGACGGCGCGGCCGCUAUCCG
rnacentral:rRNA from 1 species